rnacentral:lncRNA from 10 species
CAACCCUAUCCUUGCAUUGCUGGGGGGUGGAGGAGAGGGAAAGGAGAGAGAGCUGCUUUAAAUCAAUCAGUUGACACUAAUCUAAUGUCUAAUUAGUUCUGGGUGGGCGUGUGCUUUGAUUAUAGGAAGUGCCUCAGGCUGUGGCUGGUGUUUGAAGGGCUGCUCCACACAUAUCAAUCAUCCUUUGACAAGAUCUGGAAGAAAAAAAAAAACAACAAAAACCACCCCCCAAAAAGGGUAUGAGGUUCCGAGAUGGUAUCUGGAUGAUGAACACAGAGAGAGCUUCCAUUGUUCCUCUUCUCCUUUGUGCAGAGGAAGCCGUUGGCUGAAAAUAACAAGAGGAAGAAUUCGUCUUCAUGAAUUGAAUUGUCAGUUCUGCAGACAAUUAUCAAAAAUUUUACAGGAACACCUUGAGAGAUGUCGAAGUGUUUAUUUCAACAGCCCAAAGAAGAGAACCACAAUAUGGACACUCUCUGUCUUCACAAAUCCCCCAACGCAUGUUUUAUUCAACCUUCCAAUUUUUAGACAAAGAUUCUUGUUAGCCUCAUGAAAGACCUGGAUACUGGGGGAAAGAUGGUAUCAUAUUUUCAAUUAUGAUCAACUCACCUAAUCUGACGGAAGUGGUAAGAAGGAAGCUGGUGUGUAUGCUGAUUGUGAUUUUGAGAAUAAACUCUUACUUCUAAACCACUUACAAAAGUAUUUGCUUUUAGGAAAUGCUGUGUCUGGGUGAGGUACUAGUGGCAGUAACACCUAUUGUACUGUGACAAGUAUUUAAUGGAAUUUAGAAGUAAGGUUGAGCUAAGGAUGCUCCCAAUGUGGCAGGAUUCACAGCAAAGUAUACAAAGGAAAGACUAUGAGUGGAAAGUGACUUGUUAGAAUGUGAGCAGAGAUGUGUCCAGAGCCUCUUCCACCUGCUCGUGUGAAACCCUUAAAAGAUCCUCUAAAGUCUCUCCAGUGGUUCUGUCCAAGUGGAAAGAAGAGAAGGAAUAAGGUAGAGUAGGAAAAGGAGUUCUUCAUGCUUGGGAACGUGAAGAACAUUCUCCUAAAGUAAUGUUCUUAUUUCUAUUAAUCAGCUGUGCAUUGCUCAGGUGAUUUCUGAGAUGAGAUGCAUCAGAAUCCGUGCAUAUCUUUUGUGGUUCCAGAUAACAGCCUACUUCACUAAAAAAAAUCUUCCAGAAUCAUUAAGAGCAUUAAUUUUCAAAACUGUAGAAGGACUAUGGACAUCUUGUGCUUUUAGAGAAUGAACACACAACACAUUUUCUGUUAUAUCAGAGCUUACAGCUUCUAUCAAUUAAGAAAGUAUGGCUCCACUCAAUGAGCUAUAAAGUGAUAGCACAAGAAGGACUUUAGGAAUCAUUGAGCUCCCUUAUCUCUUUGGACAGAUGAGCAAACUGAGACCCAAACAGGAGAGGAGAGGACAAAGUCUUACCCUGGUCGCCUACUGAAUUUGUGGCAGGGUCAAACAACAUUUAUCCCAGAUUCUCAACUGACAUUUCCUUAUACUGUCUUCAUUUUGACCAUUAGCUUGUCAGCUUAAAGGAUUCAAUUAAUUCAAACAGGAUCUUGUAAUUAAAAAAAAUAGAAAAUACAAAAUACAAAAUCAGACUAACUUUCCGUGAGUCACUUUUCCAAAAUGUUUUGUAUCAAUGUGUAACAAACGAG